AUUGAACGCUGGCGGCAGGCCUAACACAUGCAAGUCGAACGGUAACAGGAAGAAGCUUGCUUCUUUGCUGACGAGUGGCGGAUGGGUGAGUAAUGUCUGGGAAACUGCCUGAUGGAGGGGGAUAACUACUGGAAACGGUAGCUAAUACCGCAUAACGUCGCAAGACCAAAGAGGGGGACCUUCGGGCCUCUUGCCAUCGGAUGUGCCCAGAUGGGAUUAGCUAGUAGGUGGGGUAACGGCUCACCUAGGCGACGAUCCCUAGCUGGUCUGAGAGGAUGACCAGCCACACUGGAACUGAGACACGGUCCAGACUCCUACGGGAGGCGGCAGUGGGGAAUAUUGCACAAUGGGCGCAAGCCUGAUGCAGCCAUGCCGCGUGUAUGAAGAAGGCCUUCGGGUUGUAAAGUACUUUCAGCGGGGAGGAAGGGAGUAAAGUUAAUACCUUUGCUCAUUGACGUUACCCGCAGAAGAAGCACCGGCUAACUCCGUG
rnacentral:rRNA from 1 species